CGUUGUAUGUCAAUAUGUCGCAAUGCAUAGAUAACAUAUACUUCCCUCCAUAUUGUCUGAUCGCGAACCUACACCGGUCUACACGCAGGAGUUUCUACCAUGGGCAAACUGAACAUAUUUGCAAUAAGUUUAAAUAAUCCCCAAGGAGUGUAUUACCCGGGCCAGGUCCUUGAGGGACAUGUCACAGUGGAACUGAAUGGGGAAAUGAAAAUGAGAGGCAUAAGGCUCCAAUUCUUCGGUGGUGCUACUGUGAGAUGGUCGGAGUCACAUUCGACGGGAUCAGGGAAGAACAGACGGACUACUACUAGAAUUUACUCAUCGCAGGAGAACUACUUCAGCUAUGAACUGGUUUUAUUUGGGAAAGCGUCAGGACAAGGGGGGGAUAACCCUUCUCUACCGGCAGGACGUUAUACAUACCCCUUCCGAUACCAACUGCCAGCUGGACUCCCCUCCUCGUUUGAGGGCUCUGUAGGGAGGAUAAGAUAUUGGCUCAGUGGUAUCAUUGACAAGCCAUGGAAAUUUGACCACACAACGAAAAGGGCUUUUACAGUUGUCAAUCUUUUGGACCUCAACACUGAACUUGGGGCUAUGGAAGGUGCAAGGGGUGAAAAUGAAAAGACUCUGUGUUGCUUAUGCUGCAAAUCUGGACCAAUCAGCUGUAGGUUUGAAAUUGACCGAUGUGGCUAUGUUCCGGGGGAAUCAAUUCCUAUCAAAGCUGAGAUCAUCAACCACAGUAACAGGAGAAUGACCAGAUCAUAUGCUGAAUUAUACAUGGUCGUGAAGUACCACGCAACACGGAAGUCACGAACAAACUUUCAGAAAAUAGGGGAAAUAUCACAUGGAGAAAUCCUUCCUGGUGACUCUGAUUCAUGGAAUGGGGACCUUCUGAGGAUACCACCAGUGCCGCCAUCCAAGUUACAGGGAUGCAGAAUAAUCGAAAUUGAGUAUUUCGUAAAGUUCUGUGUGAAUCCUUCUGGACCCGCAUUCCAGUUAGAAGUACCGCUCAGGCUGAUCAUCGGAUCCAUACCACUCAGGUCCACACUCCAGCAGUACGGGUUUGCUCCUCCACCCCAGGGCCCCGACCAGUCCCAGCUGCACCAGGGAGGGGCACAGGCUUCAGCUCAAUACACAAUGCCACCUCCAUCCUACGCAGAAAGUGUGUUCGGCACAGUGGACAUAAAGGAUGAUGCCGACACGGAGUAUACCAAAGGAGAAAUGAACUAUGCUCCAGUGUACACGUACUACAACUGGGAACAAACAGCUCAGCCUUCUGCUCCUCCACAAUAGAUGCAUCUUCUUCAAUAGCAUCUGAAACAAUAUGGAACUGCUCAGCUGACAGCUCCUCAGCAACAUACAGCAGCCCAGCCAUCACCUCAACCACACUAGUUACAUCUUCAUAGCGUGAAUGUUCAACAUGCACCACCUCAGCAUUCAGCUCCUCAACACCUGACACAUCUUCUUCAAUAGCAUCUGUAGCACCAUACAGCAGCCAAGCCAUCAACUCAACCACAUUAGUUCGAUCUUCAUAGCGAGAAUGUGCAACAUGCACCACCUCAGCAUUCAGCUCCUCAACACCUGACACAUCUUCUUCAAUAGCAUCUGUAGCACCAUACAGCAGCCAAGCCAUCAACUCAACCACAUUAGUUCGAUCUUCAUAGCGAGAAUGUUCAACAUGCACCACCUCAGCAUUCAGCUCCUCAACACUAGACACAUCUUCUUCAAUAGCAUCUGUAGCACCAUACAGCAGCCAAGCCAUCAACUCAACCACAUUAGUUCGAUCUUCAUAGCGAGAAUGUUCAACAUGCACCACCUCAGCAUUCAGCUCCUCCACAGUAGAUACAUCUUCACCAGUAGCAUCUGUAACAACUUGCAGAAGCCUAGACAUCAACUCCAGCACAAAAGAUGCAUCUUCAUCGCUACUAUUUCACACCCAGCCACAGCGUUAGAUUCGAAUAAUAUUCGAGUGAGUAAGUUUUGUUUAGGGCCGCUUUUAACAGUAUUCCAGUUAUAUCACGGCGUGUCAGCUUAAUGUGGGAGGAAAGCCCCAAGUGAUGCAGGUCUCAGGCGUUUACCACUUCAGUGAAACCCACGACCACGAGUAUGG
rnacentral:misc_RNA from 1 species